GAUGAACGCUGGCGGCGUGCCUAAUACAUGCAAGUCGAACGCUGGAGAUCUAGCUUGCUAGAUCGAAGGAGUGGCGAACGGGUGAGUAAUACAUAAGCAACCUACCCACGAAGACUGGGAUAAUCUCUGGAAACGGGGACUAAUACCGGAUAGGUAAUCGGAAGGCCUCUUCUGGUUAUUAAAGGUUAAAAACACUGGUGGAUGGGCUUAUGGCGCAUUAGUUAGUUGGUGAGGUAACGGCCCACCAAGACGAUGAUGCGUAGCCGGCCUGAGAGGGUGAACGGCCACAGUGGGACUGAGACACGGCCCAGACUCCUACGGGCGGCAGCAGUAGGGAAUUUUCGGCAAUGGGGGCAGCCCUGACCGAGCAACGCCGCGUGAGUGAAGACGGCCUUCGGGUUGUAAAGCUCUGUUGUAAGGGAAGAACGGUAGAUAGAGAAUAUCUAAGUGACGGUACCUUACCAGAAAGCCACGGCUAACUACGUG
rnacentral:rRNA from 1 species